ACGGAGGGUGCAAGCGUUGUUCGGAAAUAUUUGGCGUAAAGGGCGCGUAGGCGGUAAUGCAAGUCAGAUGUGAAAUACUCCGGCUCAACUGGGGAACUGCAUCUGAAACUGCAUAACUAGAGUACAGAAGAGGGAAACGGAAUUCCCGGUGUAGAGGUACAAUGCGUAGAUAUCUGGAGGAAAGGCAGUUGCGAAGGCGGUUUCCUGGACUUAUACUGACGCUCAGGCGCGAAAGUGUUUGGAACAAACAG
rnacentral:rRNA from 1 species